rnacentral:rRNA from 1 species
AGCGAUAACACCCUUCGGGUGGGAUUAGUGGGGAACGGGUGAGUAUAACGUGGGCGAUCGGCCCUUCGCUCGGGGAAAGCCCUGCAAACGGGGUCUAAUACCGGAUAACACUCUGUCCCGCAUGGGACGGGGUUAAAAGCUCCGGCGCUGAUGGAUGAGCCCGCGGCCUAUUAGCUUGUUGGUGGGGUAAUGGCCUACCAAGGCGACGACGGGUAGCCGGCCUGAGAGGGAGACCGGCCACACUGGGACUGAAACACGGCCCAGACUCCUACGGGAGGCAGCAGUGGGGAAUAUUGCACAAUGGGCGAAAGCCUGAUGCAGCGACGCCGCGUGAGGGAUGACGGCCUUCGGGUUGUAAACCUCUUUCAUCAGGAAAGAAGCGAAAGUGACUGAACCUGCAGAACAAGCGCCGGGUAAUUACAUGCCAACAACCCCGGUAAUACGUCCGGGGCAAGCGUUGUCCGGAAUUAUUGGGCGUAAAGAGCUCUUACGGGGCUUGUCACGUCAGAUGUGAAAGCCCGGGGCUUAACCCCGAGUCUGCAUUCUCUACCUGCUACCUGGAGUGGGGUAUGGGAGAUCGGAGUUCCUGGUGUGGCGAUGAAAUCCGAGGGAUUAACCCCGGGUGUGCACUCGAUACGAGCUAGCUAGAGUGUGGUAGAGGAGAUCGGAGUUCGUGGUGUAGCGAUGAAAUGCGCAGAUAUCAGGAGGAACACCUAUGGGGAAGACGGAUGUCUGGGCCAUCACUGACGCUGAGGAGUGAAAGCGUGGGGAGAGAACAGGAUUAGAUACCAUCGUAGUUCACGCCGUAAACGUUGGGAACUAGGAGUUGGAGACAUUCCACGUCGUCGGUGACGCAGCUAACGCAUUAAGUUCCCCGCCUGGGGAGUACGGCCGCAAGGUUAAAACUCAAAGGAAUUGACGGAAGGCCGCGCAAGCAGCGGAGCCUGUGGAUUAAUUAGACGCAACGCGAAGAACCUUACCAAGGCUCGACAUAUACCGGAAAGCAUCAGAGAUGGUGCCCCCGAUGGGGUCGGUAUACAAGUGGAACAUGGCUGUCGUCAGCUCGUGUCGUGAGAUGUUGGGUUAAGUCCCGCAACGAGCGCAAUCCUUGUUCUGUGUUGCCAGCAUGCCCUUCGGGGUGAUGGGGGGUCACAGGAGACUGCCGGGCUCAACUCGGAGGAAGGAAGGGGGGGAGUCAAGUCAUCAUUCACGGCCUGUAUUGGCAUGCACACGUGCUACAAUGGCCGGUACAAUGAGAUGGGAUGCCGCGAGGCGGAGCGAAUUUCAAAAAGCCGGUCUCAGUUCGGAUUGGGGUCUGCAACUAGACCCCAUGAAGUCGGAGUUGCUAGUAAUUGCAGAUCAGCAUUGAUGCGGCGAAUACGUUCCCGGGCCUUCUUCACCCCCCCCCCCCUAUCACGAAAGUCGGUGGCUUCCGAAGCACGGUGGCCCAUUACGGCGUGA